GCCUGGGUGGCUCAGUCCGUUAAGCGUCCGACUUCCGCUCAGGUCACGACCUCGUGGUCCGUGGGUUCGAGCCCCGCUUCGGGCU
rnacentral:tRNA from 1 species